rnacentral:rRNA from 1 species
UACGUAGGGUGCGAGCGUUGUCCGGAAUUAUUGGGCGUAAAGAGCUUGUAGGCGGUUUGCCGCGUCUGCCGUGAAAAUUCGGGGCUCAACCCCGGACUUGCGGUGGGUACGGGCAGACUAGAGUGUGGUAGGGGAGACUGGAAUUCCUGGUGUAGCGGUGAAAUGCGCAGAUAUCAGGAGGAACACCGAUGGCGAAGGCAGGUCUCUGGGCCACUACUGACGCUGAGAAGCGAAAGCGUGGGGAGCGAACAGG